GCCUUAUCAAGAGUGGCUGAGGGAAAGGCCCUGUGAAGCCCGGCAACCUGCCUGAUAAAAAGGCAAGGUGCCAAUUCCUGCGGAAUAGGUUAACCGUAAAGAUGAGGU
rnacentral:ncRNA from 2 species